GACGAACGCUGGCGGCGUGCUUAACACAUGCAAGUCGAACGGAGUUAAGGAGCUUGCUUCUUAACUUAGUGGCGAACGGGUGAGUAACGCGUGAGGAACCUGCCUUUCAGUGGGGGACAACAGUUGGAAACGACUGCUAAUACCGCAUGAAACUGUAGUACCGCAUGGUACAUCAGUCAAAGAUUUAUUGCUGAAAGAUGGCCUCGCGUCUGAUUAGCUAGUUGGUGGGGUAACGGCCCACCAAGGCGACGAUCAGUAGCCGGACUGAGAGGUUGACCGGCCACAUUGGGACUGAGAUACGGCCCAGACUCCUACGGGAGGCAGCAGUGGGGAAUAUUGGGCAAUGGGCGAAAGCCUGACCCAGCAACGCCGCGUGAAGGAAGAAGGCC
rnacentral:rRNA from 1 species